rnacentral:rRNA from 1 species
AGCGCAGACGGCGAAGCAAGUCUGAAGUGAAAUGCAUGGGCUCAACCCAUGAAUUGCUUUGGAAACUGUUUAGCUUGAGUGUCGGAGGGGUAAGCGGAAUUCCUAGUGUAGCGGUGAAAUGCGUAGAUAUUAGGAGGAACACCGGAGGCGAAGGCGGCUUACUGGACGACAACUGACGUUGAGGCUCGAAGGCGUGGGGGAGCAAACA